GCUCCUGUAGCUCAGCCUGGAUAGAGCGACAGCCUCCUAAGUUGUAGGUCGGGGGUUCAAAUCCCCUCAGGAGCG
rnacentral:tRNA from 1 species